GUGCCUCGGCAUCAGCGU
rnacentral:snRNA from 1 species